GGGUAUAGCGCCAUAACCAAUGGCGCAACCAAGACUGCUAGUCCGGAGCACCAUCCGCGGCAGCUUCAACUCAUCCGCCACGGCUUGCGUGAAGUAGAACAUGGCAUCCGCGAUCAAACAAGCAACCGGUUCCUCAUCCAACAACUCAAUCAAACAACCCUUAAACGGAUCUUCACGGCUUCUAUUAAGGUACUUAAUGAAAUAGCUGGGAUCUCAAUUCGUCGACCGCAGGUGAUCAACCUCGGAAAACCGGUCUUCGAUGGCCCGGAAAUGGAAGUGAGGGUAGCUUGAAUGAUUUGGAGAGUUGUAUUGGGUGUGUAUGAUGGUUAUUUUGAAGCCUUGGAUGUGAAGAAUGUUUGCAAGCUGAAACAUGGGGUUGAUGUGACCUUGAAAAGGUAGUGGAAAUAAGAUUAUUCUCCGGCGAGUCUCCGGCAACCGAUGGAUUUGAUCAGGUGGUUCCGCUAGUGGCACGAUGAUACUCUAAUGGAUUUCAAAGCCGCUACAGCAGCCUCUAUCUCGGUAAGAAUGCUCAGGGAGACGCUUCAGUGGGCUAGUUUUGCAAAUUUGACUAGUCAAAGGCCAGUUUUGUGAAUUUCCCAAAGAUUAUCAGUGUAUCUGGCUCAAACGCUAAUUUGGUGUGGAGGAGCCCCACCACUUAUUGAUGGACCUCUACGUAGGGUGCUACGUCAACGGUGUGAGUGAUGAGCCCCAAGUGAUGGGCCUACGGUGUGGGAGGGUGAUGAGCCCCAUCACUAUAUACAAGACAUAUGUAUGUAUUUGUGUGUGUUAGAUAAGAAAGCAAAUGGUGUGUCGCCUUCAGCAAUAAGCCAACGAUUGCGACGGGAUGAAGCGGGGGUGUGGACCACCGACGAGCCGCAACGGGCCGGAGAUUUCCCCACACCCAGCGGCAAUAUAUGAGGUUUUGUACUAUAAACAAUUUGUUUUCAGUAAUAUUUAAUAAUGUUUAAGUGUACAAAAAAUAACUAGAAAUAUAUUGACUAUAACAUCCAAUUCUUUUGUAAGUUCAUUGGAUAAUAAUGAAGAUAUAUAAUAUUAACUAGGUUUAAAAAAGUUCGCCGCGUUGCGGCGAAUUUCUUUUGGUAUUUAGUCUGUGUUUACAUGUGUUUUAAAAUCACUACGAGCGUGUUGCGAACAGAACUGUU
rnacentral:lncRNA from 1 species